UAUUGCACAAUGGGCGAAAGCCUGAUGCAGCGACGCCGCGUGAGGGAUGAAGGCCUUCGGGUUGUAAACCUCUUUCAGUAGGGAAGAAGCGAAAGUGACGGUACCUACAGAAGAAGCACCGGCUAACUACGUGCCAGCAGCCGCGGUAAUACGUAGGGUGCGAGCGUUGUCCGGAAUUAUUGGGCGUAAAGAGCUUGUAGGCGGUCUGUCGCGUCUGCCGUGAAAAUCCGGGGCUCAACCCCGGACUUGCGGUGGGUACGGGCAGACUAGAGUGUGGUAGGGGAGACUGGAAUUCCUGGUGUAGCGGUGAAAUGCGCAGAUAUCAGGAGGAACACCGAUGGCGAAGGCAGGUCUCUGGGCCACUACUGACGCUGAGAAGCGAAAGCGUGGGGAGCGAACAG
rnacentral:rRNA from 1 species